GGGGGGAGGCCGGAUCCUGGGCUGUGGCCCCGGCGCCCUGUGCUCCUGGGCCUGCGCUGUUGGGUUUGUUAGAUUUGCGCUCCCCGGGGGGCAGCCCCCU
rnacentral:pre_miRNA from 1 species